CCUACGGGAGGCAGCAGUAGGGAAUAUUGCUCAAUGGGGGAAACCCUGAAGCAGCAACGCCGCGUGGAGGAUGAAGGUUUUCGGAUUGUAAACUCCUUUUGUUAGAGAAGAUAAUGACGGUAUCUAACGAAUAAGCACCGGCUAACUCCGUGCCAGCAGCCGCGGUAAUACGGAGGGUGCAAGCGUUACUCGGAAUCACUGGGCGUAAAGAGCGCGUAGGCGGGAUAGCAAGUCAGAUGUGAAAUCCUAUGGCUUAACCAUAGAACUGCAUUUGAAACUGUUAUUCUAGAGUAUGGGAGAGGUAGGUGGAAUUCUUGGUGUAGGGGUAAAAUGCGUAGAGAUCAAGAGGAAUACUGAUUGCGAAGGCGACCUGCUAGAACAUAACUGACGCUGAUGCGCGAAAGCGUGGGGAGCAAACAGGAUUAAAUACCCCAGUAGUC
rnacentral:rRNA from 1 species